rnacentral:rRNA from 1 species
CCUACGGGAGGCAGCAGUGAGGAAUAUUGGUCAAUGGGCGCGAGCCUGAACCAGCCAAGUCGCGUGAGGGAAGACGGUCCUAUGGAUUGUAAACCUCUUUUGUCGGGGAGCAAAAGACGCCACGCGUGGCGUUCCGAGAGUACCCGAAGAAAAAGCAUCGGCUAACUCCGUGCCAGCAGCCGCGGUAAUACGGAGGAUGCGAGCGUUAUCCGGAUUUGUUGGGUUUAAAGGGUGCGCAGGCGGAAGAUCAAGUCAGCGGUAAAAUUGAGAGGCUCAACCUCUUCGAGCCGUUGAAACUGGUUUUCUUGAGUGAGUGAGAAGUAUGCGGAAUGCGUGGUGUAGCGGUGAAAUGCAUAGAUAUCACGCAGAACUCCGAUUGUGAAGGCAGCAUACCGGCGCUCAACUGACGCUCAUGCACGAAAGUGUGGGUAUCGAACAGGAUUAGAUACCCGUGUAGUC